rnacentral:lncRNA from 1 species
GGUGACAUUUUCAUACACUUUUGGUUAAUAUUUUUUUUCUUUCUUAUGACACCUCACAUUUGAACUUCUGCAUUCAGCGAGGACAUUCUCACUCCGCCUCCUGAAACCUCGCCUUCACAUCCACAACCAGAGACUGACCAUUUUCCAGACCAUCUAAGCAGUGACUCUUAACAUCUCUUACGGCUUACCUCUUUUUCACAAAAAUGAGCUUUGUCGAUGUGACUC